rnacentral:rRNA from 1 species
UGGGGAAUAUUGCACAAUGGGGGAAACCCUGAUGCAGCGACGCCGCGUGAGCGAAGAAGGCUUUCGAGUCGUAAAGCUCUGUCCUAUGAGAAGAUAAUGACGGUAUCAUAGGAGGAAGCCCUGGCUAAAUACGUGCCAGCAGCCGCGGUAAUACGUAUGGGGCGAGCGUUGUCCGGAAUUAUUGGGCGUAAAGGGUACGUAGGCGGUUUUUUAAGUCAGGUGUCAAAGCGUGGAGCUUAACGCCAUUAAGCACUUGAAACUGAAAGACUUGAGUGAAGGAGAGGAAAGUGGAAUUCCUAGUGUAGCGGUGAAAUGCGUAGAUAUUAGGAGGAAUACCGGUGGCGAAGGCGACUUUCUGGACUUUUACUGACGCUCAGGUACGAUAGCGUGGGGAGCAAACAGG